CCGCCAGAGAACUACAAGUGAAAAACUUGAAACUCAAAGGACUUGACGGUGUCCCAUAUCAACCUAGAGGAGCCUGUCCUAUAAUCGAUACCCCUCGAUCCACCCUACCUUAACUAGCAAAACUCAGCCUAUAUACCGCCGUCGACCAGCCUACCCUAUGAAGGUCUAACAGUAGACAUAAUAGUCACACCACUAGUACGUCAGGUCAAGGUGUAGCAAAUGUUAAGGAAGCGAUUGGCUACAUUUUUUAUAAUAAAAAAUACGGAAUGCACUAUGAAAUCGUUCAUGAAGGUGAAUUUAGUAGUAAAGC
rnacentral:rRNA from 1 species